GACCUCGGAUCAGACGUGAGUACCCGCUGAACUUAAGCAUAUCACUAAGCGGAGGAAAAGAAACUAACCAGGA
rnacentral:rRNA from 1 species